rnacentral:rRNA from 1 species
AUGAUCUUAAAGUCUCUGUUCAUAGUACUGCUUUCCACUACAUAUUUAGCCAAAGUAGUUCAUGUAGCUUCGGGGGUCAGCUUUUGUUUGAUUUGUAUAUAUGGUGACCCGUACCAUAGGCAAACUAGUGCCAUCUGGGAUCAAGUUUCUACUUUUGUGUAUGAUAAUCUGGGUAUCCCCAUGAUGUGUUUGGGGGACUUGAAUGACAUCCUGUAUGAUAUUGAUGGUUGUAAUGGCUAUGUGAAUUACUAUCGUAUGCAUGCUUUCCGUUCCCUUGUCAAAAAUUGUGGUUUGUUUGAUAUUGGUUAUUGUGGUCCAGCCUAUACUUGGCGCGGUAGACAACACACUUCUAAUCCUAUUUAUAGACGCCUUGACCAUUGUUUAGUUAAUUCUGAGUGGUGCAUGCAUUACCCUAAUACCAAAGUUCUUAAUCUGCCUAUUAUUUUGAGUGAUCAUGCCCCCAUUUUGGUGUCUACUGAAGGUAAUUUUGUCAAGCCUCGGCAAACUUUCAAAUUUGAAAAUUGGUGGUUGAUGGAGAAAGAUUUUCAUGCCUUUGCUAAAUCUGCCUGGAAUGCUAGUCCCUCACAUUCUUUUGCAGCAAAGUCCUCUUCUUUGGCAGGGUCUUUGAAAAUGUGGUGCAAGAAGAAGAAGCCUCUUCAGAAUGAUCUUUUGGAAUUGGAAGCUCGUAUCAAUCAACUGCAGCAACUUCCUUUACAGCAACAGGACCAUAAUUUGGAAACUUCUCUCACUACUAGAUUCUGA